GGCCUGUGUCCCGGCAUCCUGUGGGCGAUCCUGUGGUUUCUGAUCCUGUGGUUCCUAGCCUGGCCUGUGGCGUUCUUUAUAGCCUGGCUGUAUGUGCUCCUGAUACCGUUCUCAGCCUGUAUCGAACCCAUGAAGGGUGUGUGUGAGGCCAUUUUGAAAGUGCUUCAACUGCCACUGACAUGUGCUGAGAACAUGAUUGCAAUGAAGCCAUUGUGUGGAGGAUAAAAGGACUGACCUUCAUAGGAAAUUAGGACUAGAGGACUUUUACAAAAUUUUGUAUGUGCAACUGUAAUGAACACAAUUGUAUUUUUUAUAAAAAUAUGUUAUUAUCAUACAUGCAUUAGUAAACAUUAAAUGGUUAAAUGCCUCAAAAGGCUGCAAUAAAGUCUAUAUAAAUACCUC
rnacentral:sRNA from 1 species